rnacentral:lncRNA from 10 species
CAGGAAGGUUCAACAACUCCAAAUGUGUAUUUAAAAAAAAAAAAAAAUCCCUCCUUUCCCUGCACCUCAGCUUCCAAGGUGGAAAAAUGUGCCUCUGACUGCUUGCAGGUUUCAAGACGGGAACAGAGAUGGGAGGAAUGGGAAGAGAAGGAGAGAAAAGACGGAGAGACAUCUCCCUCCAUUCCUGGGAGAACAAUCGCCUUUGUUCACAGCAGGCUGAGAGAGCUGCUUGGGAAACGCCGGAUCUGGGCUCAGGGCAGGUUAGAGCCUGUGUGUACGCGUGAGGUCUCCCGGUGACCAAGGGCCCAGGUGGGUGGGCCUGGAAUGCUGAUACUGGAGCGGGGCUGAGGGGGUGUGUUGGCCCAUUGUCUGCCCACCUGCACCCAGAGCUCCCCACUGUGUCGCCUCCUCAAGCCCCCUGCAGCAUUCCCGGUGGGGGAUGGAGGGAGCAGGGAUUUCCUGCCUCCCUCGGGAGAGCCUGGUUGGCUUUUAGGGAUGGACUGAUAUUCCAAUUGCCCAGUUGUUGGGGAGUUGGAGGGGUAGGAAGGGUCUGGUCCAGGAUGAGCCAUAAUUACCUGGGGAGUUAAAAAGGAAAACAAAACAAAUUCCUGGGGCCCUUAAGAUCUUUUGAAUCUGAAUCUCCAUGGAGAUCAGGCUUGAGAUCUCCAUGGAGAUCUGGGUAUUUCUCAUGCUACUGGUGGGGAAACUGAUGACUUGUAAGAUGCCUUUUAGCAUGAAUAUAGUCUAUGUUUUGUCUUAAACCUGCUAAUGCAUAUGAACUAGUUGGGAAUUCCAAAUCUAAAAAUUGGCCAAACUGCUCUGGGGCUUGCAUGGUCCCCGGGGGCAGCCUCCUGCAGCUAAUAUGUUUCCUAAGAUGGGUUUGGGGAGGCCUGUUCACCUGGAAUCCUUCAAUCUCUGGACUCCCAGAACAUGGACUGAUAGAGUCAUCGGGCUUAUGUUUUCAAGGCCUGAUGUCUUGGAAAAGUCAGGCAUGGUUGAUUGUAGACCCAGGUCAGAUGCUGGGAAACCAGAGAGAAUGGGACUAAGAAGCCACUGACAUGCUGAAGACCAGGAUAUCCUGCACAGCAAGGCCUCUCCAGGCUCCAUCUCAUCCCUCCUCCUGGCCCACCUGAGCUCUUGGGGGUGGCCCACCUGCUAUCUUCCCUGCUUGGCUACCUCCCCUCUUUGCAUUUUGACUUUUCUGCUCCUACACCCCUUUUGUUUUGUUUCUUAUGCUUUAUUUAUUCAUUUUCUUUUAUUCCUCAUGCCCCACUCCCUUUUCUCAAUUCCUUAGGCAACUAUUCUCAUGUCCUGAGAGUAGAUCUUUUGGUUUGUGUGUGGUCUUGCAAAAUGUGUAUUGCUGUCUUGGUCAUCAAUUCAUUCAACAAGUAUUUGUUGAGUACCUGCUUUGUGCCAGGCAUUCGGGGAUACAUUAGUGAAGAAAACUGACAAGGAUCCCUGGAAUGUGUAUUCUAACAGGGGAUGCAACACAAUCAUCUAUACACAUAAAAAGACAAAAAAUUAUCAGUAUGUUAGAAGUUGGUAAGUGCUGUGGGAAAAAAU